GACGAACGCUGGCGGCGUGCUUAACACAUGCAAGUCGAACGGAAAGGCCCUGCUUUUGUGGGGUGCUCGAGUGGCGAACGGGUGAGUAACACGUGAGUAACCUGCCCUUGACUUUGGGAUAACUUCAGGAAACUGGGGCUAAUACCGGAUAGGAGCUCCUGCUGCAUGGGGGGGGUUGGAAAGUUUCGGCGGUUGGGGAUGGACUCGCGGCUUAUCAGCUUGUUGGUGGGGUAGUGGCUUACCAAGGCUUUGACGGGUAGCCGGCCUGAGGGGGUGACCGGCCACAUUGGGACUGAGAUACGGCCCAGACUCCUACGGGAGGCAGCAGUGGGGAAUAUUGCACAAUGGGCGGAAGCCUGAUGCAGCAACGCCGCGUGCGGGAUGACGGCCUUCGGGUUGUAAACCGCUUUCGCCUGUGACGAAGCGUGAGUGACGGUAAUGGGUAAAGAAGCACCGGCUAACUACGUG
rnacentral:rRNA from 1 species